GGACUACCGGGGUAUCUAAUCCCGUUCGCUCCCCUGGCUUUCGCGCAUCAGCGUCAGUGUCGGCCCAGCAACCCGCCUUCGCCGCAGGUGUUCCUCUCGAUAUCUACGCAUUUCACCGCUACACCGAGAAUUCCAGUUGCCCCUUCCGCACUCUAGCCCGACAGUAUCACUUGACCGUUCCGAGUUAAGCCCGGAGAUUUCACAAGUGACUUGUCACGGCCGCCUACGCGCCCUUUACGCCCAGUAAAUCCGAACAACGCUUGCUCCCCCCGUAUUACCGCGGCUGCUGGCAC
rnacentral:rRNA from 1 species